rnacentral:rRNA from 1 species
GUGAGUAAUACUUAGGAAUCUGCCUAUUAGUGGGGGACAACAUCUCGAAAGGGAUGCUAAUACCGCAUACGUCCUACGGGAGAAAGCAGGGGAUCACUUGUGACCUUGCGCUAAUAGAUGAGCCUAAGUCGGAUUAGCUAGUUGGUGGGGUAAAGGCCUACCAAGGCGACGAUCUGUAGCGGGUCUGAGAGGAUGAUCCGCCACACUGGGACUGAGACACGGCCCAGACUCCUACGGGAGGCAGCAGUGGGGAAUAUUGGACAAUGGGGGGAACCCUGAUCCAGCCAUGCCGCGUGUGUGAAGAAGGCCUUAUGGUUGUAAAGCACCCUAAGCGAGGAGGAGGCUUACCUAGUUAAUACCUAGGAUAAGUGGACGUUACUCGCAGAAUAAGCACCGGCUAACUCUGUGCCAGCAGCCGCGGUAAUACAGAGGGUGCAAGCGUUAAUCGGAUUUACUGGGCGUAAAGCGCGCGUAGGCGGCUAAUUAAGUCAAAUGUGAAAUCCCCGAGCUUAACUUGGGAAUUGCAUUCGAUACUGGUUGGCUAGAGUGUGGGAGAGGAUGGUAGAAUUCCAGGUGUAGCGGUGAAAUGCGUAGAGAUCUGGAGGAAUACCGAUGGCGAAGGCAGCCAUCUGGCCUAACACUGACGCUGAGGUGCGAAAGCAUGGGGAGCAAACAGGAUUAGAUACCCUGGUAGUCCAUGCCGUAAACGAUGUCUACUAGCCGUUGGGGCCUUUGAGGCUUUAGUGGCGCAGCUAACGCGAUAAGUAGACCGCCUGGGGAGUACGGUCGCAAGACUAAAACUCAAAUGAAUUGACGGGGGCCCGCACAAGCGGUGGGAGCAUGUGGUUUUAAUUCGAUGCAACGCGAAGAACCUUACCUGGCCGUUGACAUAGUAGAAACUUUCCAGAGAUGGAUUGGUGCCUUCGGGAAUCUACAUACAGGUGCUGCAUGGCUGUCGUCAGCUCGUGUCGUGAGAUGUUGGGUUAAGUCCCGCAACGAGCGCAACCCUUUUCCUUACUUGCCAGCAUUUCGGAUGGGAACUUUAAGGAUACUGCCAGUGACAAACUGGAGGAAGGCGGGGACGACGUCAAGUCAUCAUGGCCCUUACGGCCAGGGCUACACACGUGCUACAAUGGUCGGUACAAAGGGUUGCUACCUAGCGAUAGGAUGCUAAUCUCAAAAAGCCGAUCGUAGUCCGGAUUGGAGUCUGCAACUCGACUCCAUGAAGUCGGAAUCGCUAGUAAUCGCGGAUCAGAAUGCCGCGGUGAAUACGUUCCCGGGCCUUGUACACACCGCCCGUCACA